UAGGGAAUCUUCGGCAAUGGACGAAAGUCUGACCGAGCAACGCCGCGUGAGUGAAGAAGGUUUUCGGAUCGUAAAACUCUGUUGUUAGAGAAGAACAAGGACGUUAGUAACUGAACGUCCCCUGACGGUAUCUAACCAGAAAGCCACGGCUAACUACGUGCCAGCAGCCGCGGUAAUACGUAGGUGGCAAGCGUUGUCCGGAUUUAUUGGGCGUAAAGCGAGCGCAGGCGGUUUCUUAAGUCUGAUGUGAAAGCCCCCGGCUCAACCGGGGAGGGUCAUUGGAAACUGGGAGACUUGAGUGCAGAAGAGGAGAGUGGAAUUCCAUGUGUAGCGGUGAAAUGCGUAGAUAUAUGGAGGAACACCAGUGGCGAAGGCGGCUCUCUGCUCUGUAACUGACGCUGAGGCUCGAAAGCGUGGGGAGCAAACAGG
rnacentral:rRNA from 1 species